UAAUUUUGUUGCGAUUGAGAUGCUCUUUGCUUUGUUUUUCUUUUUGGUGUGAACCUUAUGCAACACUACUAUUGAAACCAUGCAAAUUGGUCCCCCCACCAUAUACUACCGUUUACAGUAGUUCUCCAUGGAUGAUGCCUUCCAUUUGUGUGUAUGUGUGUGUGUGUGUGUGAGAGAGAGAGAGAGAGAUAUGCAUGUAAGGGUCCCCCCAUGCUCUCAACCUCUAAAGUUAUUAAUGCUCUUACAAUAUUUAGAAACUCUCACUAACCUGUCUGCAAUCUGCAUGGUGGUGGUGUUGGCGUGACAAUAUUCAAUUUGCAUCACUUGGGACCACUUUACUUCAAUAAUUUUCAAAGCUUUUCAGUUCCUCUAUUCUCCAUCUUGUGUCAAAUAAAAUUUGAUUACUCCCCUUUAAUUUCCUCUCUUCACACUUCUAUUUAUAUCCUUCACAUCCUCUCUUCUCUAGGUGAACUUUAGCUGCAGAAGCAGCAGAAGAAGCAGCUCUGUUGUAUGAUAGGUCUCUCUUUUCCCCAUGAGUCUACCCUACUAGGGAGUGCUCUUCUUCUUCUUCUAAUGGGUGCACCACUAUCAGUUGAAGCUGCCAGCAUGAUCUAAACUUGCUUCCCUUUGUGAACAGAGAUCAGAUCAUGUGGCAGUUUCACCUGUUGUUGGUAGCACAAGAAACCCUAAUCCUGAAUAAAAACCCUAAGUCCCACUUCUAUGCUUACUUUCUCAUCUGGGUUUUCUUUGUAAAAUCCCUAAAAAGGUAUAUAUAUAUGUGAUCUUCUUGUCUUGGAUUUUUGCUCAUCUGGGUUUCUGUGACAUCCUUCUUUUGAAGUACGUUAAUUCUGGUGUUCUGAAUGUGGGGUUUUCUUGUUUUAAACUUGCGCGAAAAAAAUGUUAGCUUGAUGAGUUGGUUAGGGUUUUGAGUGACAGGAUCUUUUUGCGUCUCCAUGCCAUUUGAAUAUUUCAAGAUCCCCCACUGUGCUUUGGGAUUGAGUCAUGCCGUACUAUUUCUGUUAAUUCAUGAGGAUAUCAAUCUCCCUUGCUGUCUGAUUUGGAAUUGACCCAGGCAUAUCCAUCUACCUAAGUUUUUACGAAGUGGGGAUCUGCCCAGCAAUGGUCGGAGAAGUCAGGAAAAUAUGUUGAGGUGAACCAGAAAAGUUCAUGGGAGCUGGAUCUAACUGUCGACUUAGUAAGUGUUGAGUGUUCACUAUUCUAUCAUCUGUCAUUGCAUUAUAUGUUGUCUGUUUUGGGGUAGGAGAGAGCUCAGACCUAUAUGCCCCAUUAAAUUCUUUUUGACCUUCGUCUUCUUCCCUCAGGUUGAAUUCUUUCCUGCUUCUGCCUAUCGGUUUUUAUGAAGUGGGUUAUAUAAUCUUACUAAUCCAACUGUCCCAAAAACCUUAUAGUUGCUGAUGAGUAUCUUAUCUUUCUCCACUGAUUGUUUAUUGUGAUUAGACACCAUCAACUGGUUAGAACAAAACCAACAAUGAAGCUCCGAACAUCUUUCUUUUUGAGUUUGGUUUCACUUGACUGAUGUAAGUGUUCGUGAAAAUAGAAAGGAAGAGCAACUGCUUGAAAUAUAAGGCAUCUGAGAUAAUAUAACAAGUAAUGGAAUACUGAACUUGUCCUAGCACAGAAGAGCAUCUGGCAGAUUUGGAUAUGAAUAGAAUACUUUCUUCUUGCCUAAAGUACUUCUGAAAAAUGAGAGCUUAAUAUUUCUACAAUGGUGGAGUCAGUUCUGUCUUGAGGGUAUAAGCUAAAAGAAUAACAUAUAUCCAUUUAUAGGGCUUGAAGGACCUUUUCAAAUUUCUGAUGUAUUCUUUGAAUGCUCAGCUCAAGAGCAGACAACACAACCAUUCUGGCUAAAAAUACAGGUCUGAGAUAAUUAGUGUAAAAAAAACCUUCUUUUUUUUCUUUUUUCUUUUUUUCCUUUUGGUUUUUUUGUUUAGAUGUAGACACAAAAUGUACAACCAUUAAUCUAAUUCAUUUUGCAAGUUAUGAGCAAAAUCAUGUGCACCCUACUUCAAAAUUUUCAAGUUAUUGGUCUAGUUGCUGUCUCUCUUUGCAGUCUGGUUCCUUUCAGGCCUUGCUGGUUUAGCUCCAUUUGGACAAGUGUCCACAGGGCUUUCGUUUUGGACAAAUCACCAAAAGGGUCAUUAGUUUCAUUCUUCGGAAACUUUCCAAGGGUUUUAAGGAGAUAAGUUUGAAGAGUGCACUUACUAGGGUUUAUUAAUUAAUAUGGAGUGUUCCAGAUGCUUCCAAGAGCAUAUCCAUGGGUUUUCAAAGAGACAACAGUGAAUCAUAAAGUGCAGCAGUUUUUAUACAUUGUUCUUCUUUUUAGUGUAGUUUUUCUCAAGGGAGUAGGACAAGCUUUUUUUUCAUGAUGAUGUUGUUUUCUGACUUGUAUUAUGAUGCAUAAUAGGUCUAUUUACACUUGCACAGCAGCAUUGCUGCAGCACUAUACAUUCUCUCUCUCUCUCUCUCCCCCCACUACAUUUGCUUAUAAACUUGCUUUUCAUCUUUUAUCUUGUUCAUCAAUUAAUUAAUUUGUUCCUAAGUCUCCUAACUUUGCAGGCUUCUGUAUUUUUGUUGGAUGAAAGUUCAGACUUCUAAUUCACAAAGUGGGUGCAAUCUCUUUUCAAAACUGGAUAUAUUAAACAUUCAUCCAUAUGGUCUCUUAGUUUUCAUUCUUGUGCUCAAGAAUUUGCUUACAGACAGUGGUCUCAGAAAUAUAGAAGUGUACUCAACAGUUAAUUUGUCACCGUGACUGCAACAAGUAUAUAUUAUGAAAGUGUUAAAGGUAGGUCUUAUUUUAUCAAA